rnacentral:rRNA from 1 species
UACGUAGGGUGCGAGCGUUGUCCGGAAUUAUUGGGCGUAAAGGGCUCGUAGGCGGUUUGUCACGUCGGGAGUGAAAACUCGGGGCUUAACUCCGAGCCUGCUUCCGAUACGGGCUGACUAGAGGUAUGCAGGGGAGAACGGAAUUCCUGGUGUAGCGGUGAAAUGCGCAGAUAUCGGGAAGAACACCCGUGGCGAAGGCGGCUCUCUGGAACGCAACUGACGCUGAGACGCGAAAGCGUGGGGAGCAAACAGG